CUUAUCUUUGUCACAUUCCUUCUGGGCUUCAAGGUGCUGCUGGCGAUGAGUUUCAUAGUCACCUACAUCUGCAGGUGGCGGAGCUGGUAACAGCUCCUGCAUGAACUGCAAUACAUUGCCUCCCGUCCUGUGCAAGAGGCUCACAUAGGGGAGAACCUGCCCCCCACUCACCGCCUUCCAUCCUGGACAUGCCCCCUUCCCCACACCCUCCUGAUGGUCCUUCUCUCUGGGCAGAGUCCUGAUGUUCCGCUCUCUUCAGAGCAGAGUCAAGGAUGGACCCUGGUCUCAGGGACCCAGAGACCCUGAUGCACAGAGCUUCACACUGGCUCUGCCUCUGCCCCAAAGACAAUCAAGAGGGUCAAGAAAAGAAGGUUCCCAUUCUGUCUGUGAUGAGGAACAGCCCUUCAAUUU